UCGCGGGCCCCUGAUCCGCCCACCUGGCGGCUCUGCCCCAGGAAUCGGCUGGGGCUAGCGACUCCCCCUUCCCCCCAAUCCCCAACAAUGUGCGGAAACCCCCGGCCUUCUCUGCGCGCAGCCUCCGCUCCACACCGCAGCGCCUCCCCGGUAAGUUAGAGGCGGCAGCCACCACUGAAAAUCGCCCUAAUGGGAACUCCGGGGAAGGACCCGGGUCACGGUAGAGGUGGGGAGCUUGAGGCACAGGAUGGUAAUGUGACUUCCCCAAGGUCAUGCUGCUAGUAAGUGGCAGAGCCAGGAAUGGAAUGCAGGCGAUCUGGUUCCAAAGCCCACACUCUUACCACUAUCUGUCUGCCUUAUAACAUCAGAAUUUUUUAAACUGCUAGAAAAUAGCUCUUAUAAUGUUUGGAAUUUUCCGACUGAUGGUGGUGUCUUUGUUAAGUUAAUGAGGUGACUCAAGUGGACCUCUUGAUAACUUCAGGAGGGGAUCUGGACAUCAGAAAGACCAACCAUGUGAGUAGAGUGUUGGAACUUUGGGUCAACCUGACUCUGCAGGGAAGAAGGGUUGUGGGGCUGGAGAUUGAGUUCAAUCAUGUGGCCAACGAUGUAAUCAACCAUGCCUGUGUAAUGAAACACCAAUACAAACUCUGGGUACUGAGGCUCAGUGGAGCUUCUUGGUUGGUGAACUCAUAAACGUGGGCAUCGUGUAAUAUGCCCUGACUCCACUGGGAGAGGGUGCAGAAGCUCUGUGCUCCCUUUUAGACCUGGCCCUAGGUGUCCCAUUUGGCUGCUCGUAAGUGGCAUCAUUUAUAAUAAAGCCAUGAUCACAAGUAUAGCAUUUUCUUGAGCUCUGUGAGUCAUUCUAGUAAAUUAUUAAAUCUGAGGGCACCAUGGAACCCUCAAAUUUGUAGCUAGUUGGCCAGAAAUGUGAGUGGCCUCCCAAGAUGUGUGGCUAGCAUCUGAAGCGGGACAGUCCUGUGGAGCUCUUUGCCCUUAACCUGUGGAGUCUGCACCAACCCUAGAUAGUGUCAGAAUUGGGUUGGGGUAAAAACAGAGCAGACACAUAUUGAGUAGUUAUUACUGGAAUCUACAGAUAUAGAUCAAGUCACAAAAGCAUGAUUUCAUAUAUUAUAACUGUAAUAGACUGAUUUACUAUAAGUCUCCCCAGCACCAUCCUAUAUAAUAAAAGGCUAAUAUCCAAAUUGUCCCCAUGGGUGGGAGUUUGACCGACCGGGAGUUACAUGUGCUCUGACCACCAGGGGGUGGGCAGCUGGGGGAAGGGAGGCCCCUGCCAGCAG